GCACAUGAGGACGCCGGCGAGGGCCGACGCCGGCCACAGGACCUGCUCCUCGGGCCCGAAGUUCCACUCCAUGAGUGUCUGUCCUUCCGAUCAAUCAACCGGCGACGAAGGGGCCGAGGGAGCGCGAAACGAGAAGCUGAUCCGAGGUUACGCGCCGGUGGAUCGACAGAUACGUACGCCUCCCGGGAAAUCAAACCUGCAGCACAGCUAGCAAGCAGGAACCGCGCCACGUUUCUCACGCUUGGAUCUAUUUCGGGGCAGAAAAGAGGAGACCGAGUCGACGGGUAAUCCGGGGACGGUACGAUG
rnacentral:lncRNA from 1 species